GACGAACCGUGCGAACGUUGUUCGGAAUCACUGGGCUUAAAGGGCGCGUAGGCGGGCCGCAAAGUCAGGGGUGAAAUCCUCCAGCUCAACUGGAGAACUGCCUUUGAUACUGGCGGUCUUGAGUGGGGUAGGGGCAUGCGGAACAAUGGGUGGAGCGGUGAAAUGCGUUGAUAUCCAUUGGAACUCCGGUGGCGAAAGCGGCGUGCUGGACCUCUACUGACGCUGAUGCGCGAAAGCCAGGGGAGCAAACGGG
rnacentral:rRNA from 1 species